UACAGAGGUCUCAAGCGUUGUUCGGAUUCAUUGGGCGUAAAGGGUGCGUAGGCGGCGCGGUAAGUCGGGUGUGAAAUCUUGGAGCUUAACUCCGAAACUGCAUUCGAUACUGCGGUGCUUGAGGACUGGAGAGGAGACUGGAAUUCAUGGUGUAGCAGUGAAAUGCGUAGAGAUCAUGAGGAAGACCAGUGGCGAAGGCGGGUCUCUGGACAGUUCCUGACACUGAGACACGAAGGCCAGGGGGAGCAAAACGGGG
rnacentral:rRNA from 1 species